rnacentral:rRNA from 1 species
UACGUAGGGGGCAAGCGUUGUCCGGAAUUAUUGGGCGUAAAGAGCGCGUAGGCGGUCCGAUAAGUCGGCUGUGAAAGUCAGGGGCUCAACCCUUGAAAGCCGGCCGAUACUGUCGGACUAGAGUCCGGAAGAGGCAAGUGGAAUUCCUGGUGUAGCGGUGAAAUGCGCAGAUAUCAGGAAGAACACCAAUGGCGAAGGCAGCUCUCUGGGACGGUACUGACGCUGAGACGCGAAAGCGUGGGGAGCGAACAGG